rnacentral:rRNA from 1 species
UUGGAGGGCAAGUCUGGUGCCAGCAGCCGCGGUAAUUCCAGCUCCAAUAGCGUAUAUUAAAGUUGUUGCAGUUAAAAAGCUCGUAGUUGAAUUUCGGGGUCAAUAAGUUGGUCGUGCCAAUGGUAUGCACUGGCUUUAUUGAUUCCUACCUCUUGACGAACUGUGAUGCCAUUAAUUUGGUGUCGCAAGGAAUCAGGACUGUUACCUUGAAAAAAUUAGAGUGUUUAAAGCAGGCUUACGCUUGAAUACAUUAGCAUGGAAUAAUGAAAUAGGACGUUUGAACCUAUUUUGUUGGUUUCUAGGAUCGACGUAAUGAUUAAUAGGGAUAGUUGGGGGCAUUAGUAUUCAAUUGUCAGAGGUGAAAUUCUUGGAUUUAUUGAAGACUAACUACUGCGAAAGCAUUUGCCAAGGAUGUUUUCAUUAAUCAAGAACGAAAGUUAGGGGAUCGAAGACGAUCAGAUACCGUCGUAGUCUUAACCAUAAACUAUGCCGACUAGGGAUCGGAUGAUGUUAAUUUUUUAAUGACUCAUUCGGCGCCUUACGGGA